rnacentral:misc_RNA from 1 species
GUAGGUGAACCUGCGGAAGGAUCAUUAACACAAAAAAGCUUUUUUUUUUGCUUUGUAACAAAAGCAAGAAAAACACCUUAUCCACCCCCUUUGAACGAACGAUGAUUUAUUAUCAUUUUCUCCAAAACUAUUUUUUUUACCCCAUAUGCCAAACAUGCGAUAGACUGAUAUCAUUUUUAUGAUCAUUAUCUUUUGAUAUUUAAUGAUUACUAAAACAACUCUUAGCAACGGAUAUCUUGGCUCUC